GGUGGGUGCUGCGGCGUGUGACGUCUCUAGUAGUGUCGGAACUGGGUGUGCUGCCUUCCCCAGGUGUACUGAGGUCUUCGUGAGAUUCAGGCCUAGGAUUCGUGUGGCUGUAUCACGUUUCGAAUGAAGCUUAAAAGGCUGGAGUGCAGCAGCACCAUCAUGGCUCACUGUAACCUUGAAGUGCCAGGCUCAGGUGAUCCACGUCAGCAUUUCAAGUAGCUUAAACUACAGAGAUCGUGAUCACUUUUCUCUUCCACAAGACAUCACACUGGUCUAUCUUACUGAGGACAUUAUGCGGAUUGGACCCAGUGAGUGAGAAGCAGCAAGCACAGUGGACUUAUUGUGCUGGAUGCUUCCUGCCCUCGAACAUCAGACUCCAAGUUCUUCGGCUCUUGGACUUACAAUAGUGGUUUGCCAAGGGACUCUCGAGCCUUUGGCCACAGACUGAAGGCUGCACUGUCGGCUUCCCUACUUUUGAGGUUUGGGGUCUCAGACUGAUCCACUACUGACUUCCUUGCUCCUCAACUUGCAGAUGGCCUAUCAUGUGAUUGUGUGAGUCAAUUCUUCUUAAUAAACUCCCUUUCACAUAGACAUAUUUCCUACUAGUUUUGUCCCUCUAGAGAAUCCCAGAUGGGAUUCUGUCAUUCCCAGAUUUUUCCAGGGUUUCUGCCAUUGCUUCCCCAUUUUCUCACCAACUACCGUCCAGCACACAUGCCAUGGGUUUGACUUCUUUCUCAUAGACACUUACUGAUAUUUUAGUUUUCUGCAUUAUCUCCAGUUCUUUCUCUUCCUUUGGUCUUGGAAAAUCUUGCCACAACUUUGUGUUGUCCAGAUUCUUCUUAGGCCUCUGAGCAUUUCUUCAUUGUCUAUUUUUUUUUUUGGAUAUUUGUUCCAUCAUCUGUCCAUGAAAUACUCAGCUUCUAACAUUCCAUUUUUGGCCCACUGUCUUUCUCAGUUUUUCCCAGGUUACCUCAUCCACUCCCAAGGAUUUAACCACCACUUCCAUACUAAUGACUCUUGAACCUACAGCUUUAGUCCAAAAUCCAUGUCCCAUUGCUGUAUAUCUGUCUUUGAUCUCCCACAAGCUAAUAAAGCUCAACUUGUCCCAAACUCUAUAUAUCUUCUGAAAAUCUGUAUUUUUCUCUUGCAUUCUUUCUCUUCAGUGGUGGAUAUCAUUACAAACUGCUCGGUUAUUAAGGAAAAAUGUUCAGUGCUUUGAGGAUGUUUAGUAGAGGCACUCUCUGUCUAGGAUCGGGAGUGGGGAUGCGAGAAAAGGUUCUCUCACUUAGAUAUUAUUGAGGCUGGCAUCUCCAGAUAUGCACAGCUCAAGAGUCCAACUGCAUCACUUCCUUGCCCCAGACCUUCAGGAAAAACAUGCAGUGGUGCCCCCAGCGGGUAGCCAUCUUGAUAGAGAGGAGUGUGUUAUCAUUGUUUAGAUUCGUUGGCAAUAUAGUCAGUUUUAUUAUUGUUUUCUAAUACUCAACAGACAGUCUACCCCCUUUUUGUCUGCACCCAGCAUGGUUCACUCACAUUGCCCUACUCCUUGGUACUCCACUGAAAACUUGAAGGCCUCCACCCUCCUCUCCUUAUCCCUAUCUGCCCUUCAGCCAAGGCCAAAUCACUCUGUUGUUCCUCAUUUCUGUGUCUUUUCUCAUGUUCUUCCCUCUGCCUGGAAUUCCUUCUACUCUGUACACACACUGUAUCUAGUUUACCCCUACUCUUUAAGAUUCAACUUAAAUAUCACUUCCCCCAGGAAGCUGUCCCUGCUCACCCAAGGCUGAGUCACAUGCCCUUCCUUGGACUUCCAUGGUAUCUUCUAAAUACUAAAUUUCUGCAUUGGCCACAUUGUACUCUAAUCUGUUCAUGAUUUUGUCUCUCUCAAUUACUGUGUGCCAAAUGAAGUAGUCUUUUUCACUUUUUUAUUCACUGAGAUCCGAGGAAACACUACAUUAUUCAUUUUCAUAUCUCCGGGAUCUAGGGAAAUACUUGUCACAAUAUUGAUGAGAAAGGUGUUUACAUCAUGUUGUGACACAAGCUUUAAAUUCUGCAGAACACUUAUUUUUGUGGGAAAAAUAAUAUUUGGAGCAUGCCCUUAGGGUCUCCCUCCACUUCCUUUCCUGGUACCCUUUAGAAACCUUUAUGUGAACCUUCCACAUAUAUAUGGAAGGCUCAGGUCGGUCUUCAACACCACUGCCUUGAUUCUACAAAUUUACAAAGUGAAAGACAUUUUUCCGUUUUAAAGCAUGCUCUUCUCCAGCUUUCUGCAGAGCUUCCAUUUUUGCAAGACAGUGACUGAGAGUCUGGUAUUCAAUUAUUAUUCUAUUCAUUUAACUGCACCAGUAAAUAGUGAUAGAAUUCAGAACUCAGAGCUAUCACAACAUGGAAUUUUUAAAAGGCACUUGAAAUCCUUGAAAGCAGAAGCAGAGACAUUUAAAAUACAGAGGACAGGGAACCAAAUUGUGAAAUGUUCUCUCUAUAAUCUUCAUCAAAGAGAUGUGCUUUGAAAUGAUUCCUAUUCCAGGGAAGAAAAUACGAUCUGCUCCUCUCUUCCCAUGACCACCAUUUACAAAGCACCACCAAGUUUUACAGAUAUUUUCUUCCCAGUGUCUCUCGUAACCAUUCCUUCCUUAAGGUUUCAUAAGAACCAUAUGAAUGUUCUUUGACAUCAUAUAUUAUAUGCAGUGAUUCUUUAAAUAGUGUUCUAGUGUUGAGAUGGCAAAAAGCUCUGGAAGCACUGGUGUGCUGGUAAAUGUUUCACAGUCAGCUCUCAGGGGAAAGAAGCUCUGUUGGUAGUGUUUGCCAGUCUCCAUGGUGUAAAUAUUCCCACCAAGGCAGAUUUCAAGCUAUCAACUUGAUGUCACUGAAUGAGGAGCUGGGGAAAGGUGGACCCCAUCGUCUGUACUGAACCAAUACAAGCUGCUGUAUAUCAGCUCUAGCACAUUUCUGGAUGGACGAUUAAUUUUUCUCAAGCACCAUUUAAGACAGGCUAUUCUCAGAUUCAGAAAUCUACUCAGACUUCUACUGUCUACCAUGGAAAUAGAAAAAAAAACAGUCUGUCCGCUUUUCCCUAUCACCACAAAUACUAUGUUGGGCUACUUGAUUGGAGUCUGCAUUAACUAGUUAAAUGAUCUCCCUGGUUUCACUCUUACCUGUACAGUUCUUCUCCCUACAGCAAUCAGAGUAAUUGUUUAACACCAAUUUGAUUGUGUUACCUGCCCGGAGGCAAUAUUGCACCACACCAGGAACUAUGCCACUGGUGCAACAUGAAGUUGUGCGAUACCCAGGCUAUUCAACCAUACUCGGCACCCCGACCUCUGCUUAAAAUCCUCAGAGGUUUUCCAUUACAUUUAGGGAUUUGUAUAUUUGUGUUUAUAUAACAUAUGUUUUAACCUGGUCUCCAAAGGCCUGCAUGAUCUGACUGCAGCUUCCUCUCCUGUCCCAUCCAUGCCGCUCUCCCUCUGACUCACUUGGUUCCAGCUUCUCUGAACUUCCCAACUUCCUUCAAUUCCUCUGUCAUACCAAGCUCUCUCUAGGAUCCCACAUGGACCGCUCUUCUUUUUCAUCUUCCUCUGGUUAAACUUUCUUUCUGAAGUCUCUGCUCACGAGGCACUCUCCAGAGAGAUCUUUGAACCUCUGAUCUAAAUUAAGCCCCCUCAAUUAGUCUCUUUCAUGGCACAUUAUUUUCUCACUUCUCAGCAUUAUAGUGGGUACUGUCAUUAUGAGUGUUUUGGUGUCA